rnacentral:rRNA from 1 species
UACGGGAGGCAGCAGUAGGGAAUAUUGGUCAAUGGGGGCAACCCUGAACCAGCCAUGCCGCGUGCAGGACUAAGGCCCUAUGGGUCGUAAACUGCUUUUGAACGGGAAGAAAUGUAUCUACGUGUAGAUAUUUGACGGUACCGUUAGAAUAAGGAUCGGCUAACUUCGUGCCAGCGGCCGCGGUAAUACGAAGGAUCCAAGCGUUGUCCGGAUUUACUGGGUUUAAAGGGUGCGUAGGCGGACUUAUAAGUCAGUGGUGAAAGCCUUCAGCUUAACUGAAGAACUGCCAUUGAAACUGUGAGUCUCGAGUUCGGUUGAGGUCGUUGGAAUGUAACAUGUAGCGGUGAAAUGCAUAGAUAUGUUACAGAACACCAAUUGCGAAGGCAGAUGACUAAACCGAAACUGACGCUGAGGCACGAAAGCGUGGGGAUCAAACAGGAUUAGAUACCCUGGUAGUCCACGCCCUAAACGUUGAAUACUCGACCUUAGCGAUAUACAGUUAGGGUCCAAGCGAAAGCGUUAAGUAUUCCACCUGGGAAGUACGUUCGCAAGAAUGAAACUCAAAGGAAUUGACGGGGA